rnacentral:pre_miRNA from 1 species
AAAACAUUCGGACCGUCAGUCUACCGAGCACUAUCACCCGCUCAGUGGAAGAUCUUCCCUUCGUCGU